AUGUGGUCCUCUUCCAUUUUCGUCCCUCUAGCUGGCAUUGGCGGGGAGCUUGCACAAAUUUCCCAACGGGUCAUGCAGGCCUUUUCCGACCCAGAUCGCACGUACACGGUCCUAGGUUCGUGCGACUCGCGCUUGCUUGUGAAAGACGAGGUGCCGGCACCUUCGUUUCACGAGUUAGCCCCCGCUGACGAACAAAUGGGCAUUAGGGAGAUCCAUCCAAUGGCACAACCUAUGGAGGUGCCCACGCCUAACACAUUUGGCUACUUCGCUGUCGUCGGAGGCGAGUUUGCAGUUUUCAUACGCCGUCCGGUCGGCCAGGCCGAGCGCUGCCACAAAGGGGUCUACUUCAACACGAACGCGCCAAUGCAGUACUACGUUAACAUUGAGAGGGACGGGGCUUGGAGCCGUGAUGCGUCAGAACCAGUUCAUCGUGGACGCCAAGUAUACUUCCUUGAGAACCCGUACGCCAUCAUCAAGAGAGGCAUGGUGUUCAUCAUGUAUGAGGUCGGGAAGGUGAUGUCAUACGAUGUCACCAACGGCAGCUUCUCCUUGUUGGUUCUGCCGGCGGAUUUCCGGGACAACGCGGACAAAGGAGGAUCGGACUACAAGGUCAGCAGAUGCACUCCCGGCACGAUAUGCAUCGUUCAAACCCAAGGCGUUGAUCUUCACAUAUGGGAUCGUGAUCAGUAUGGAGCAUGGGUUGCAAGGGCUACAAUAUCCAUCCCAAUAACCCUCGGUGUCCCACUCACCACAUCUUUGUGGGUAAGAGUUCUGUAUGCAGGCACAAACAGCUACCCUGCAUGCACGUCGUUCUACUGCAUCAAGGUAUUAUCAGCAGAUGAGUGUGCGCGUCACGUUUCUGUGAGCUUCGGCUUCAUGACUCGCGCGUACACAAUCAACACCGAGACACUUCAGUCAUCCGACCUCUUCGACAGGAGCCCUCACCAAGUGUUGACCCAAGUGUUGCCUGUCACUGUCAGGUGGCCGCCCAAGUUCGAUCAAGCAUUCGCACAUCUUGGCUAG
rnacentral:rRNA from 1 species